CGGUUUCUAUGAAGAGAAGUGCGCAUGCGCCGGCUACAGGCGUGAAAUUGGCAAAGAUGGAAGAGGCGGAGAGGGGAGUGACAGCAGCGAGCAAUGGCAAUGUGUUUAUCAAAGUGCGCAUACCCGGGCCUGGCGGUAAACUGUGCACAUGUGCGGGAUCUCGGGAACUGGAGAGAAUGAUGUGACAUCAUGAAAGUGCCGGCCAGACGAUACACUGGGGAGGAGUUAGGCAUAAAAAACGCUGAGGGGCCAGGGCGCUUACAGCAAGUAUCUAAUUUCCCAAUAGAAGUCAAUGGGAAAAUACACUGCCUGUCCAAAAAAUAAGUCGCCACCUGGAUUUAACUAAGCAAAUAGUUAUGAGCAUCCUAUUGGAUAAUUACUGCAUGGG